rnacentral:pre_miRNA from 1 species
CAACUACUCCCUCUGUCCCAAAUUUCUUGUCUUAGAUUUGUCUAGAUACGGAUGUAUCUAAUACUAAAAUGUGAUUUGAUACAUCUGUAUCUAGACAAAUAUAAGACAAUAAUUUUGGGACAGAGGGAGUACUUU